CUACGGAGGGUGCGAGCGUUAAUCGGAAUUACUGGGCGUAAAGGGUGCGUAGGCGGCUUGAUAAGUCGGAUGUGAAAGCCCCGGGCUUAACCUGGGAAUUGCAUUCGAUACUGUCAGGCUAGAGUAUGUCAGAGGUUGGCGGAAUUCCUGGUGUAGCGGUGAAAUGCGUAGAUAUCAGGAGGAACACCAGUGGCGAAGGCGGCUAACUGGGACAAUACUGACGCUGAGGCACGAAAGCGUGGGGAGCAAACAGGAUUAGAUACCCCAGUAGUCC
rnacentral:rRNA from 1 species